rnacentral:rRNA from 1 species
GGGGGGCCUUUCCCGAGUGGCGGCUCCCCGCCCCUGUGAACGUACCUUAUGUUGCCUCGGCGGAUCAGCCCGCGCCCCGUAAAAAGGGACGGCCCGCCGCAGGAACCCUAAACUCUGUUUUUAGUGGAACUUCUGAGUAUAAAAAACAAAUAAAUCAAAACUUUCAACAACGGAUCUCUUGGUUCUGGCAUCGAUGAAGAACGCAGCAAAAUGCGAUAAGUAAUGUGAAUUGCAGAAUUCAGUGAAUCAUCGAAUCUUUGAACGCACAUUGCGCCCGCCAGUAUUCUGGCGGGCAUGCCUGUUCGAGCGUCAUUUCAACCCUCAAGCCCAGCUUGGUGUUGGGAGCUGCAGUCCUGCUGCACUCCCCAAAUACAUUGGCGGUCACGUCGAGCUUCCAUAGCGUAGUAAUUUACACAUCGUUACUGGUAAUCGUCGCGGCCACGCCGUUAAACCCCAACUUCUGAAUGUUGACCUCGGAUCAGGUAGGAAUACCCGCUGAACUUAAGCAUAUCAUUAAAGCGGAGGAAAAGGUAGAGCUGCGGAGCAACUGAUCAAUCCGAGGGGGGCCCGCGCACACCCCUAAAAAGGAGGCCCAGACUAACCGUUUUUAUGAAUCGAGUAUAAAAAAAUAAUAAACUUACAGGACUUGGUUUGCCUCAGAAAACACAAGCAUAAUAUGUGGAGUG